rnacentral:rRNA from 1 species
UACAGAGGUCUCAAGCGUUGUUCGGAUUCAUUGGGCGUAAAGGGUGUGUAGGUGGCGCCGUAAGUCGGGUGUGAAAUUUCGGAGCUUAACUCCGAAACUGCAUUCGAUACUGCGGUGCUUGAGGACUGGAGAGGAGACUGGAAUUCAUGGUGUAGCAGUGAAAUGCGUAGAUAUCGUAAGGAAGACCAGUGGCGAAGGCGGUGUUCUGGGCCGAUACUGACGCUGAUGCGCGAAAGCGUGGGGAGCGAACAGG